rnacentral:lncRNA from 1 species
ACAUAACAUGGUUGCUUUAUGAUCAAAGCCCUUUGGCUUUGAAAAACGAUGAAAGGUCAAAUUCCUUCCAGAAUCCAGGACAUCACCAAGAUUUAAUAAGCUCUUCCUUGGCCUAUUAUUAACAUUUCCUGGAAAUUUCAUUAAAAUCCUUUUAAAACAUCUUAUUUUUACAGACAGACAUCGGCAGUCACAUAAGCUCCUUGGCAGAGACACCAAUCGGGCCAAGAGGAACCAGGAGAGUGACAGAAUUAUCCUGGCAUGUUGGCUGACCACCUCGCCUGAGCUACAGCAAUCCCAAGAGCCUUCAGCAUGUGAAACAGAGUCUGCGGAAGCUCAUGUGGGUGUAUGUACAUUUAGACCGUUGGAUCCUGUCAACCUCAUUGUCUUCCUGUCAGACUCCCUGCCUCAGAAUGAUAAAAACAUCACACCUCCCUCGCAAAAGAUAACAUAUCAUGAGAGCACGUGGGAUGGCUUGGGAGUGCAGGAUGCAUAAUGUGAUGCUGAGUCAGCAUUUAUCUGGCCUUAACAGUUUGAAUGCUCAAAUAAAUU